GUGAGCCAUAUGAUGGGCAACUAUCUCCUAUGGUUUAGAGAGGACUCAGCUAUUAGUUAGUACCCCUUGGUUUCGAGGUCGACCCUUUCACUCUAU
rfam:Zea mays cultivar B73 chromosome 1, whole genome shotgun sequence.